rnacentral:tRNA from 1 species
GCCGGGGUAGCUCAGUCGGUAGAGCAGCUGAUUCGUAAUCAGCAGGUCGUCGGUUCAAGUCCGAUCCUCGGCUCCA